rnacentral:rRNA from 1 species
UGGGGAAUAUUGCACAAUGGGCGCAAGCCUGAUGCAGCAAUGCCGCGUGAGUGAAGACGGCCUUAGGGUUGUAAAACUCUUUCGCUAGGGAAGAUAAUGACGGUACCUAGUAAAGAAGUCCCGGCUAACUCCGUGCCAGCAGCCGCGGUAAUACGGAGGGGACUAGCGUUGUUCGGAAUUACUGGGCGUAAAGCGCACGUAGGCGGACCAGAAAGUUGGGGGUGAAAUCCCGGGGGCUCAACCCCGGAACUGCCUCCAAAACUAUUGGUCUAGAGUUCGAGAGAGGUGAGUGGAAUUCCAAGUGUAGAGGUGAAAUUCGUAGAUAUUUGGAGGAACACCAGUGGCGAAGGCGGCUCACUGGCUCGAUACUGACGCUGAGGUGCGAAAGUGUGGGGAGCAAACAGGAUUAGAUACCCUGGUAGUCCACACCGUAAAACGAUGAAUGCCAGUCGUCGGGUAGCAUGCUAUUCGGUGACACACCUAACGGAUU